GUCGUCUAUUGUUUUUAGGAAAUGGAAAUGAUGCUGAGCAAACAUCCAAGAUGGAUUUUAGGGAGUUGGUUACUACUAAAGCAAAUUGAGAAUGGAAGCUGCUGAGCAUAAGUGCGAGCCUGUACUCAAUUAUCGAGUAGAGAUAUCUCAAUUUUCACCACUUUGUCUUUUCUUUUACUCGUAAGCUCUCUUACCCUUGAACCAUUGCACCUGUCCAAUGCAAGAGCUGAAAAAAUUGGUCUAGAAGUAAACACCCAUAUGUGCAUAUCAAACUCCAAAAAAGCAGGCAUUUCUUGAUGUUGCGAUUAAUUGGGAGCCUGUUGGUCGAAUAAUUAUUGGGCUAUAUGGUGAUACUGUCCCCCUUCGGAACGACAAGAUUCAGCAAACUCNUAAGUGGAGCAGCAUGUGUUAGUUAUAGGAGGAAAGAAUUCGUUAAAAUCAUGCCAAACUACUUGCAACAUGGUGGACUAAGAUCAUAUGGUGUUGAUGCAGAGCUUGCAAGGAAAACAGAGAGUAAUGUGACCAUUGAUAUUCUUGUGAAUGAAUGGGAGAAACAGAAUGAAAAUUGUUCGGGAACUAAGAAUGUGGCAACGAGUGUUGGCAUUAUUGUAAGGGACCCUUAAAAACCACAUCCGGAAAUCAAGUUGGUUGCACGUAAAGGGAAGCUGGAAAUCAAUGAAGAAGACGGAAAGGAUCUUAACGGGACAGUUUCUCAUUGCCACUAAAGACUCACCGGAGCUGGAUGCCUAGAGUUUGGUUGUGGGAAGAGUCCUCAAGGGAAUGGAUGUUGUAAAGCAAAUGAGCAAAGUGAAGACUGUGCAAGAAAACACAGAUAUGGCUCAGUGGUAAAACAAGAGGGUUCUCUACGGAGCAUCAGAGGUUCGAAUCCUCGUAACAGUUGGAAGGCAUGUGGAGGCAAAGUUAUAGUAUAUUUUGUCGCCCCUCCGAAGGUUUUAUCCACACGUCAUAAAGGGAGAUCCACAGGGAGAAGAACCACUUUCUGAAUGUCCGACCCAAGUGUCUAUAAGUUGUGAUUACAUCCGGAUUUACCUUGUUGGUGUACCGAGGGGGAAGCCGCCACUCCUCG
rnacentral:lncRNA from 1 species